rnacentral:lncRNA from 1 species
ACAGGAAGUCUAUGGGGACAGAGGGGAUGGGGGUCUUGAGGAUGACUCGGGCUCCUGAAGGCAGGGGAGGGAGGCAGGAGAGUGUCAGAGAGGCAGUGUUGUGAGGACCUCCAUGCCUGCUCUGAGCUGGGGCCCCAGGUGUGUGCUGUCACUCAGGCACAUGCCCCAGUGAGAGCAUGUUCUGGCAGGGGGAAUGGACGUGGCCUCGGGGCAGGGCCGGCAGGAGCCUGGAGGUGGCCCCACAAGCCCCAUCGUCUGCCCACCUCAGGUCAGAGUCCGACAGCCCCAGAAGAGAGGGGAGCCCGGCAAGGCAGGCAGGGCUGGAGGCCUCAGGGCCACCUGUGUCUGCUGGUGGGGGGCGGGGGGGGUGCCAUGAGGCCGACCCUCCUUCCGCCAGGCUGAGGCACGUCCCCCGGACACAGAUGGCUCUUUGUCAGGGAUGAGCUGAGCUUGCUGAGCAGCCUCUGGAACAAAGCCCCUCUGUCCAUGCUGUGCCUCCCCACCCGGAGCACCACCUCCCGGGAAGGAGCAGAGCCCCGGGCUCCCAUCCGGCGCACCCACCAGGCACAGCCUUGGCCGGAGG